rnacentral:rRNA from 1 species
CACGUAGGGCGCAAGCGUUGUCCGGAAUUAUUGGGCGUAAAGAGCUCGUAGGCGGUCUGUUGCGUCCGCUGUGAAAACUCGGGGCUUAACCCCGAGCCUGCAGUGGAUACGGGCAGACUAGAGGUAGGUAGGGGAGAAUGGAAUUCCCGGUGUAGCGGUGAAAUGCGCAGAUAUCAGGAGGAACACCAAUGGCGAAGGCAGCUCGCUGGGACGGUACUGACGCUGAGGCGCGAAAGCGUGGGGAGCGAACAGG